rnacentral:rRNA from 1 species
GACGAACGCUGGCGGCGUGCCUAACACAUGCAAGUCAAGGGUGUAGCAAUACACACUGGCGAACGGGUGAGUAACGCGUAGGUAACCUGCCCUUAUCCCCGACACAACUCAGAGAAAUUUGAGCUAAUAUCGGAUGAGGCAUUUCGAUGUCAAAGGAGCGAUCUGGAUAAGGAGGGGCCUGCGUCUGAUUAGCUAGUUGGUAGGGUAAAAGCCUACCAAGGCGACGAUCAGUAGCUGGUCUGAGAGGAUGAUCAGCCACACUGGAACUGAGACACGGUCCAGACUCCUACGGGAGGCAGCAGUGAGGAAUAUUGGUCAAUGGACGAAAGUCUGAACCAGCGACGCCGCGUGUGGGAUGAAGGGGCUUUGCCCUGUAAACCACUGUCGGAAGGGAAAAAAGAAGUAUGAACUUCUGGGAUUGUACCUUCAAAGGAAGGAUCGGCUAACUACGUG